AGUGGACUUGAAGAUGAAUAUGCUUCAGAUACUCAAGGGAGUUCCGUUGAAAACCGCCUGUACCAGUCUUCUGAAUUUUUAAAUCCACAAACUAGACGAGGCGAAGAAGAACAUGAUAUCCAAAUACCUUCAUCUUCACAUGAUAAUCAACUAUACCAGAUGCAGAUGCAAACUUACAACGAAAAUGGUGGACGGAGUUUGCAAUGUGCGUUACUUCGGAGGAUUGAGGAACAUUUAGCAACACCUAUGCCAAAGAUUACUGAAGCUGAUCUGAACUAUGCAGACAUUGUUUUUGAAGACCGACAGUUGCCUGGCUCAGUAAUUAUUCACGGAAUUGAUAAUAAGACAAUCUAUUCUGACAUAAUUGUUGGAGCCCAACCGCAAAAUCUACUAUCCACCAAUGAUAGUUCAAGCGAAAGUGAAGACGAUUUCAUAUAUGUAGAUGGAAUCGAAAAUUACACAGAAAGAAGGAAAAUGAAUGAAUCUCAGCAAUAAUUGUAGUGUGCAUACUGUGUUUAUAUGUAACAUUUAAUUGUCAUUGUGUUGUACAUGUAAAUUUGCAAAGUUUUCUGUGGAUACCUUUGCAAAAUAUUUUGUGUGACCUGCUAGUUACCGUGAUUUUGUGAUUUCUGAGAUUUUAACAUUUGUACAAGAUACCAGAGGGAUAUUCAAACUCAUAAAUCGAAAAUAAACUGACAACGCAAUACAUAAAAAAGAAAAAGACAAACAGACAAACAAUAGUACACAAAACACAACAUAGUUUAGGUAUCCAAUACAGUGAUGGAAGAUCCAGUUCCUCAUCGUUGGUUGAAAUUUCAAAGGAACAUAGAACAGACCUAUGAUUAUCCAGGAUUUCCUCUUUAGUAAGUGUCGUGGGGGUAUAUGUUGAAUUUCCAAGUUAAGUGUCAAUACCUUAUUCAUUUAUCAAGCAGUUUAUGUAAUGUGAUUCACACACAAAAACUAUGUUGUUUAUGGCGUUAUGUCUCUGCGGGGACAACUACAUAUUUGUCAUGGAAAUAGGACAAGUGUUUUGCAACAUUUAGGUCUUUUAAGAUUGACAUAGCAUGGGUAUUGAUAGAUCCAUUCAGUUUCUUUGUAUCAACGACCUCAUAGCCCUUAUUCAUUCGGAAAGAGUAUCUACGUCUUCUUUCCCGCGUUUAACCUACUGCCUGGCAUAAUCUUAGACUGAAUCCAUCUGUUUUUUUAAGUUGUGUUUCUAAUUGAUGGAUUUAGGCUCCCGAUAUUUUGGACCUUUGGAUAUCACAUUUUGCAGGAAAGUGUUAUUGACAAUGGUGAUGUCACCGGUAAUGACGUGGGCAGCCGGAUUAUAUAUGAACGGGGAACUAUCACAGGUGCAGUCAGGAGGUUUAGACUUGAAGUCGUCAAUAUUGAGAUCCUUCGACACGUGUUUGUAAUUGAAAAUGUUAGUUGUAAUUGGUUUGGUAUAGGUAUAAGAAUUGAAUGGUACACACUGAUCUUUAAAAUGGGAAGGCAUUUUCGAUUGAUCUAAUCUAUGACGAAGGAUAUUGCUCAAGUUCACUGCAUCGAAACCUUCGUUCAGCAAAGGAAAGUGCGGUAAAGGUUCCAUUUAUCACAAAUAUUAAGUCCGUUAUUUUGAGCUGGAAAAUGUUUCAAGUUGAAAUAUACACUUUAAAAACGAAAACAUAAAUUAAACAAUUCGAAUGUGUUCUUCAAUGCAGAUAAAGGCAAAGGAUGAAUCAACAAAAUAUUCAAAAAUAGAUAAGAAUAUAUCAAGUAUAGAUUUCACUGCUUUUUUUCAAUUAAUAUUAUCUUCAUUUAAUCAAAAUGUGAUUUGUCACUUGCUGUCAUUUUGAAUGAAUUAAAAAAACAACUCAUCAACGA